UCCUACGGGAGGCAGCAGUGGGGAAUUGUUCGCAAUGGGCGCAAGCCUGACGACGCAAUGCCGCGUGGAGGACGAAGAUCUUCGGGUCGUAAACUCCUGUCGAGCGGGACGAAUGGCCCGGGGCCUAACACGCCUCGGGAGUGACGGUACCGCUAAAGGAAGCCCCGGCUAACUCCGUGCCAGCAGCCGCGGUAAUA
rnacentral:rRNA from 1 species